rnacentral:tmRNA from 1 species
UCAGAGGUCUUGGAGGGGCUGAACUAGGAUCGACGUGCGUUGAAAAGCAUUGUUUUUGCCCGGCAUGAAUAAGCCGUGAAAUGGUUCAUAACCAAUAGGUGCAAACGAUAACUCAGCACUUGCUCUCGCAGCGUAAUUUUGGGCCUCACGGUCUAAACUUACACUAAAAGAACGCGGCCGAACCGGCCGGGCAACAGAAAGGUUACAGC